UUGCUGCAAAUGAGACGAGUUUUAUAGGUAAUUUGCGCCUGAGCUGUUUCUCUGAUGUCACACCCUUUUCACCUUGGAGAUCUUAUGCAUCUU
rfam:Hordeum vulgare subsp. vulgare, WGS project CAJW01000000 data, contig: morex_contig_44740